rnacentral:rRNA from 1 species
CCUACGGGAGGCAGCAGUGGGGAAUUUUGGACAAUGGGCGAAAGCCUGAUCCAGCAAUGCCGCGUGAGUGAAGAAGGCCUUCGGGUUGUAAAGCUCUUUUGUCAGGGAAGAAACGGUGAAGGCUAAUAUCUUUUGCUAAUGACGGUACCUGAAGAAUAAGCACCGGCUAACUACGUGCCAGCAGCCGCGGUAAUACGUAGGGUGCAAGCGUUAAUCGGAAUUACUGGGCGUAAAGCGUGCGCAGGCGGUUUUGUAAGUCUGAUGUGAAAUCCCCGGGCUCAACCUGGGAAUUGCAUUGGAGACUGCAAGGCUAGAAUCUGGCAGAGGGGGGUAGAAUUCCACGUGUAGCAGUGAAAUGCGUAGAUAUGUGGAGGAACACCGAUGGCGAAGGCAGCCCCCUGGGUCAAGAUUGACGCUCAUGCACGAAAGCGUGGGGAGCAAACAGGAUUAGAUACCCUGGUAGUCCACGCCCUAAACGAUGUCUACUAGUUGUCGGGUCUUAAUUGACUUGGUAACGCAGCUAACGCGUGAAGUAGACCGCCUGGGGAAGUACGGUCGCAAGAUUAAAACUUCAAAGGAAUUGACGG